rnacentral:rRNA from 1 species
AUUGAACGCUGGCGGCAGGCCUAACACAUGCAAGUCGAACGGUAGCACAGAGAGCUUGCUCUCGGGUGACGAGUGGCGGACGGGUGAGUAACGUCUGGGAAACUGCCCGAUGGAGGGGGAUAACUACUGGAAACGGUAGCUAAUACCGCAUAACGUCGCAAGACCAAAGUGGGGGACCUUCGGGCCUCACACCAUCGGAUGUGCCCAGAUGGGAUUAGCUAGUAGGUGGGGUAAUGGCUCACCUAGGCGACGAUCCCUAGCUGGUCUGAGAGGAGGACCAGCAACACGUGAACGGAGACACUGUCCAGACUCCUACGGGAGGCAGCAGUGGGGAAUAUUGCACAAUGGGCGCAAGCCUGAUGCAGCCAUGCCGCGUGUAUGAAGAAGGCCUUCGGGUUGUAAAGUACUUUCAGCGGGGAGGAAGGCGGUGAAGUUAAUAACUUCACCGAUUGACGUUACCCGCAGAAGAAGCACCGGCUAACUCCGUGCCAGCCGCCGCCGUAA